GCGGAAGUGGCGGCGACAAAGCCGAGCCAGCCGCGGCGUCUGGGCCAAAGAUGAGACCCAGGAUUUGGGAGGCAAAACAAACAAACAAAUAUGAAGAGGGCAGAUUUUGGACCUCCAUGAAUGAUGCCAAAGUUAAGAAAAGCUAAAAGAGGUAGAGAAGGUAUCUCUGGGGAGUGUUCUUCUCUUGCCUGGCUGGCCUUGUACCUGAUGGAACUCUGGACAUCUUCACAACAGGAGCCAUUUUGCAAAGGACGAGAUGAUAGCUCUGAGAGGAUGAGCAACUCACCCAAGUUUAUGUUGCUGCAAAAUGAUAGAAUUGGAAGUAGAUGCCAGACUGCAUCCAAGGAGGAGACACUGAAGUGUUUUUUCCCUACACCAUGCUAAAUAAACUAAGGCAGCGCC